rnacentral:lncRNA from 1 species
CAGAGCAGGAAUGUUGAGUGCAUUCAUUUUUUACUUCAGUUCUUUUCUUACAGGAGCUCAAGUGACUCCGCUGAAACCCUGGCAUUUAUCACAGACAAAAUUAGGUCAGAAGAGAGCACAGAGGUACUGAACUGAAAAGAGAUAAAUUCAUCCUUAGAAGGAAAAGAAUGGCUCGAGCUGCAAACUUGGGUUUAAUUUGUCUCCUCCACAUAAGACGGAUCUAACAACGCAGUCUGGGCUCCGUGCCAAAGGCUGGUAUUUCACAGCAGCGACCGCCUUACAGAUGAGCUGUGGGAAGCAGGAGGGAGACUCUCUUAGGGUGCCACUACUAUGGAGACACAGCUGGGCUGAACAAGAUUUGCUUCAAACGACAACAAGAGAGACAGAAAGUGUCUGGUUCGACUGCUGCCCAAGCAGGCAGUAACCAGAAGAGCUAGCAGCCAAUCCGGCCAUGCUGCACUGUUCGAAACCAGCUCUACAUCCCAGCCAAUCAGUGACAUCACUGGUAUUUGCUGCUCUGUGCUUAACAUAUUUUAAACUUUUCUGGCAAAAAGUCUAUUCAACACUGUACUUAAAAUGGUUCAGACCAUUGUUCUCUCUAUAUUUUACUUGUUGAAUAAUUUCAGCAUUGUCUCU